UAGGGAAUCUUCCACAAUGGGCGCAAGCCUGAUGGAGCAACGCCGCGUGUGUGAUGAAGGCUUUCGGGUCGUAAAGCACUGUUGUAUGGGAAGAACAGCUAGAAUAGGAAAUGAUUUUAGUUUGACGGUACCAUACCAGAAAGGGACGGCUAAAUACGUGCUAG
rnacentral:rRNA from 1 species